rnacentral:rRNA from 1 species
GAUGAACGCUGGCGGCAUACUUAACACAUGCAAGUCGAACGGGAAGUGGUGUUUCCAGUGGCGAACGGGUGAGUAACGCGUAAGAACCUGCCCUUGGGAGGGGAACAACAACUGGAAACGGUUGCUAAUACCCCGUAGGCUGAGGAGCAAAAGGAGAAAUCCGCCCAAGGAGGGGCUCGCGUCUGAUUAGCUAGUUGGUGAGGUAAUAGCUUACCAAGGCGAUGAUCAGUAGCUGGUCCGAGAGGAUGAUCAGCCACACUGGGACUGAGACACGGCCCAGACUCCUACGGGAGGCAGCAGUGGGGAAUUUUCCGCAAUGGGCGAAAGCCUGACGGAGCAAUGCCGCGUGGAGGUGGAAGGCCUACGGGUCGUCAACUUCUUUUCUCGGAGAAGAAACAAUGACGGUAUCUGAGGAAUAAGCAUCGGCUAACUCUGUG